UUGAGGAAUGCUAUGGGCUUGGAACAGCACCCUUAGGUCCAAAUUUGUAAAACUAUGGGCUUAUUAAUCAAAGACCAAAACGACAUCUCAACCAAUUGGACCUAUUUGCAUCCAAAAAUAAUUGGCCCAAUUUGACGUUUUGGUCACAAAAAUGGAGAUUAGCUAAAAUGGCCGCGUCAGUAAAAAUGGAAAAUGCACUCUUUUCAGUUCAGGUCAGCCAUGGAUCUCCUUUGCAAAGCCAACUCCAACAACAGUUCUGACGAUGAACCCGAACCCGCAAACCAUCACCCUUCCUUUCUGCCCUUCAAAACGGCCCAAACUUGAAUGCACAUUUCCCACAAUGAAUCUUCAGAGGAGAGGAGAAACUCCGGUUCCUGGCAGAUACGUAUCCAAGAGGGAGCAAGCACUUCCCGGUUCCGUUUCCCAGGCUGUUGAAUCAAACCCGAAUCACCAGAUCCUCAUUUCACCACUCAGACAGUUGUAGGAAGAAUUUCAGUUUUGGAUCUUCUGAAUGAUGUUCUGGCGUCAAUGCAGCAUAGAUGAAUGGGCUAUAUUCAACUAAGUCAAUUUCCUGAGAAGCUGUCCGUAGCCCUGCAUGACCAUGCAAAAGCUGUUAAUGCUGUUCAUUGGUCACCAACUCAGGCUCAUCGACUUGCUUCUGCUGGGAUGGAUCAAACAAUCUGCGGAUGGAAUGUACGGAGCAGAGAUCAAAAGAAAGCUUGAAUUAAGUGGUCACAACAUGGGUUAUUUGUACUUUCUUGUGGAUGUGACGUUUCAUCAAAGUUGAUUGAUGUUAAAAAGGGACUUGAAACACAGAAUUUUAAAAAGGAUCAGGUUGUUAGAUUUAUAAAAUUCCUAUCUAGACAACUCAAACCUGUUCCUUUUUGGGGGAUUAAAGGGCAAACUCAUAUUGUGGGAUCUUAGAACUGGCAAGGUGGUACAUUAUAUAUUCGAGGUCUGGAUCCAAUUCUUGAUGUUGAAUUCACCGUUGAUGGGAAGCAAUUUUUAUCUUCCAGUGAUGUUUCUGGGGGUAAUGUCAGUGAAAAUUCUAUUACUUUGGGACAUCUCUAGAUGCAUUCUGCUGUCUAAUCAGGUUAGAGAUGCCUUUCAACAUCAUUUAGUCUCCAUUACUGAGAUUUUUAUGGUAAAACUAUUUCCACCUCACAUUGCCUCCUCUUAGUCUCAUUAAUCGUUCUCCUUUCUUUGUUGUUGCCGAAAGUUUAGCAUAUGGCUACCCUCCAACCUAAAAGUAUUACCUUUUGCUAUACUGUUUUUUUAGCAUAGCUUCCUAUUAUGGUUGUUAACAGAUCACUAACCAAAAUGAAUAGAUACUUUAAAAUAUAUUUUAAAGCAGUUUUAUUUUAAAAAGAAGCAGCACAAUGAAGGAUGCAUACUUAUCUAUUACUAUGUUUUCAAGUUAUUGGAUCCUACUGUUUUAGGAAUUGUCAUUUCAGCAUAUAUCUGUAUAAUAUCAACAUUUAUUCCAUUCCCUUUCCUUUAUGCUUCAAACCGCCUUGUUUCCUUUUUUGACCAAUGCUUUAAGGAGAACAGUGAAAGCAUCUGCUGACUCAGUUAAGGGGGGCUAAUAGCCCUUAUAUCUAUGCUUUGCCCUAACCCAAAUAGCACUUCUAGUUUAGAUUUAUAGGUCUUUUAAUAAUUUCUCAGCACAAAUCACAAAAGCCUCGUAACUAUAAUUUGGGUUUGGUUACACCAAGUAAAUCAACUAAAAAGAAAGAAUUCUACUUUAGCAAGAGUUAUCCACUUAUCCUUAAACUAUUGAACGGAGAGCCAGAGUUGCUGCAUAGAAAACCUGUGCACAAACUUUAAGAUAGUGUCUCUACAAACUUUGACAAAUGAGCCAUUGGCUUGUUUGUUGACUUGCCACUUAGCUUUGCUGUUCACGUUGGACGGUUCUAAUAGAGUUGUUUGAAUACUGCCUCUUGAGUUAUACUUAUCAACUUAAGCUAGGUUCAAUUAGUUGCAUGACUUUAGAAUUUGACAUGAGUCCUGUCAUUAAAACACACAUACAUGCAUAAAAUUAUUGCUUUUUGUAUGGAAGAGAAAAAAUGCAUAAUCAAUCAACCAUGUCAAAAUAUUAUACCCGUGUAAGACUGUACGAUUGAUAUUCCAUCGGACUAAAGUCAUGUUCUUCAAUUUCUUGUGUCACUUCUAUUCCCUUUUAAAUAUAAAAGGAGAUGUAAGAUAUGGCUUAGACAGCUAGAUGCUAUUUUCUUGUCUUUGGAAUAUAGGUAAUUAGACUUGUGUAUAGAAUAUUAAUGAAUGCAUAGAAGGUAACAACUUUGCUUAUUCUGGUUUUGUUUCUGGUUUAUGCGGAAGCCUACAUUUGUCCUUGUGUUAGGUACCACCCAUUUGAUCCCUUUUUUGUGGCCCAAUCUGGUGGAAAUUAUAUUGCCAUUUUCUCUUCAAGCUAGACAAGUAUAAAAGGUAUGAAAGCCAUGGAUAGUAUCAGGAUUUGCAGUUAAGUGCAAUUUCAGCGUGGAUGGGAAGAAGCUUGUUUCUGGUUCCUCAGAUGGUUCUAUAUACUUGUAUAACUGUCGGUGGUUGUCAAGAAAAUCAAGGCAUACGAGUAACUGCUUCUUGCUGUUGGCACGGAGAUGUUUCAGUGUUUGAGUGAGACAGCUUAUUUAUCCUUAAUUCUAGGACAAGCAAAAGAAUCUUGAAAAUACAAAUAUGUAUAAACCAACAUCUUACUCUUUGUUCUUAAUGUGUGGAAAAGCACAAGAGAAACAGAAUCAAAAUCAUUGUCAAUCACAGUAUCUCAGUCGUUUCUGUCUAACUUUUGGUGGUUCUUUCCAACAUGGUCUUACGUUUUUUCCUUUUUCUUGUAACCCUUCACCAAGAAAACAAGGCUGGUAGGCUACAGUCAAAUAAUCAAUGCCAACGGUAACGUAAUCUGUUGAUAAAAUAUUGG